GACAUAGGUGGCGAACGUUAUCCGGAAUUAUUGGGCGUAAAGGAUGCGUAGAUGGCGUGAUAAGUUAUCAGUGGAAAAUCGGGCUCAACCUCGUGGAAGCUGAUAAUACUAUCGUGCUUGAGUGCAGGAGAGGUUAACGGAACUCCAUGUGGAGCGGUAAAAUGUGACGAUAUAUGGAAGAACACCGAUAAGGCGAAGGCA
rnacentral:rRNA from 1 species